GAGCAGGCUCCCUGCAGGGAACCCAAUGUGGGACUCCAGGAUCACACCCUGGGCUGAAGAGAGGUGCUAAACCGCUGAGCCACCCAGGGAUCCCCAGUUUCUGAAAAAUAUUUUUGUCUUAAAAGUCAUCAAAGGUGAUCAUAGGAUUGUUUUACUUAUGAUUUUAAAAUUCAUCAGCAUUAAAAUAAUAAUAUAGACUUUCCCUCUACUAAUUCAAAAUUAUAAAAUUUGAAUAAGGGCUAACCUCACAUUUUCCUUUUUUUUAUUUAACCUCACAUACAUUUUCCUAUACUGACUAGAUCUUUCAUUCUUAAAUACUUGAAUUAAUACAGGCUACUAAUCCAUCAUCAGAAAUAAUUUAUUUUGAAAAAAAAUAAAGUGUGCUUUAUAUCAGUUCUUCAGUACAUUUUAUACUCCUGACCAGGUUGAAAUUUGCAUUAGACUGACAGUGGGCUGUUAGAGGUUCAUUUAAAUAGUGAGUUGUUCUAUUUCAAAGGAAGAAAGUAAUUUACCUUCUGUCAUUAUGUAUAUAAUAGAGAAAAUGUAAUUCACGAAGCACUUUAAAAUGUUAAAAAUUUAAUAGAAGUAUAUAAUAGAUAGUUUAUAUACUGAAAUCAUUAUGAUGGCCUUGUAGUCAAAUCUGUAGAAGACUUGUGUUGAAACUAUUUCUUUACAGUAUGUGUGGGCAGCCCUAGUCUGGCCUAAUCAUUAAGUACCAUUUGUUAAACACUUAUUAUGUGACAUUUGAAUCAGUAAUGCCUUCAUAUUUUCAAUUUGAGUUAGAUUCUAUGAACAGGAAUAUUUCAGAUUGCUGCUGUAAGUAAGUGGUGAUACCAGCAGGGAAGCUAAAGUCAGAAAUGACUAUUUUGCUUGUCUUAUCCAUGACUCUUAAAAUAUAACAUAUUAAGAUCAUUUCUGUCUCUACUGCUAAUGAGCUUUUUCAUCCAGGCAAAUCACUUCAAUUUUGGGGGCCUCAGUUUUCCUAUCUUUGAAACAAAGGGCAGACUAGUCUAUCUCUAAGAACUUUCCCAGCUCUAAAGUAGGAAGCUUCUGAGUACAAAACAAAUGUAUGUUUCUUCUGUUCAGAAGCUCGUUCCUAAUAACCUGAAUUUUCAUGUUGUUCAUCAAAUUCCCAUUCUUUGUCUCUUUGAGUAUUGCAUCUCUUCCAUCCAGUUGUCAUAUUAGAUUUAUGUCUUACAUUCUCAUUUUGUUUUAUGUGUCUAAUUUACUCUUUCAUAUUUUCUAUCUAUCCCUCUGUGCUGUAGCUAGGGGAUUUGCUUUGAAUCUUUUCCAGAUAAUGAAUUCCUUCUGCCAUUUUAGUUUACUGUUUACCUAUAUAUUCACUUUAAUGAAUAUUGUAUUUUUAGAAAAUUUCUAGAAUAUCACCGUUUUUCCCCCCAAAAUCCCUCAUGUGUUGUUCUUUCAUCAGAUAUUAGUUUACAUAUAUAUUUAAAUAUAGUUUAAACAUGUGGAGGUUUUUCACUUACACUGAUAAUAUGUAUACAGAAAAUUGCAUAUACAAUACAUGUGUAACCAGCAACGAAAUCAAGAAAUAGGAUAUUACUAGUCUAGCAAAAGCCUCCUGAAGUUCUCUUCCAGUCAUCAGCCACUGACCUUCACCCUACCACCAGGGAUAACCACUUCUAGCAUAGAUUAUUAAUUUGCCUUCGUGCUUUAUAUAAAUAGAAGUGUGUAAUAUAUACUCUUCGAUGCCUGGCCUCUUUUGCUCAAAAUUACAUUUGUGAGAUUCUGGGAUCUUGUAGCCUAUGGUUAUAAGUCAUUCAUUCUCAUUAUUGUUUAGUAUUCCAUGGUGUAAAUAUACCACCCUUUAUUGAUUCUAGUGAAUAAUGGGCACUUGAUGAGCUUUCAGCUUUGAGUGUUUGUUUUGUUUUUUUUUUUUUUUAGAAUUCCAUUAUAUUUCACUCAUUCUGUCUCAUUUUUGGCUUGUUCU
rnacentral:lncRNA from 1 species